GAGUUUGAUCAUGGCUCAGAACGAACGCUGGCGGCAUGCCUAACACAUGCAAGUCGAACGAUCCUUUCGGGGAUAGUGGCGCACGGGUGCGUAACGCGUGGGAAUCUGCCCUUGGGUUCGGAAUAACAGUUAGAAAUGACUGCUAAUACCGGAUGACGUCUUCGGACCAAAGAUUUAUCGCCCAAGGAUGAGCCCGCGUAAGAUUAGGUAGUUGGUGGGGUAAAGGCCUACCAAGCCGACGAUCUUUAGCUGGUCUGAGAGGAUGAUCAGCCACACUGGGACUGAGACACGGCCCAGACUCCUACGGGAGGCAGCAGUGGGGAAUAUUGGACAAUGGGCGAAAGCCUGAUCCAGCAAUGCCGCGUGAGUGAUGAAGGCCUCAGGGUCGUAAAGCUCUUUUACCCGGGAUGAUAAUGACAGUACCGGGAGAAUAAGCCCCGGCUAACUCCGUGCCAGCAGCCGCGG
rnacentral:rRNA from 1 species